rnacentral:rRNA from 1 species
GAUGAACGCUGGCGGCGUGCCUAAUACAUGCAAGUCGAGCGAACAGACGAGGAGCUUGCUCCUCUGACGUUAGCGGCGGACGGGUGAGUAACACGUGGAUAACCUACCUAUAAGACUGGGAUAACUUCGGGAAACCGGAGCUAAUACCGGAUAAUAUAUUGAACCGCAUGGUUCAAUAGUUAAAGAAGGUUUUGCUGUCACUUAUAGAUGGAUCCGCGCCGCAUUAGCUAGUUGGUAAGGUAACUGCUUACCAAGGCAACGAUGCGUAGCCGACCUGAGAGGGUGAUCGGCCACACGGGAACUGAGACACGGUCCAGACUCCUACGGGAGGCAGCAGUAGGGAAUCUUCCGCAAUGGGCGAAAGCUUGACGGAGCAACGCCGCGUGAGUGAUGAAGGUCUUCGGAUCGUAAAACUCUGUUAUUAGGGAAGAACAAAUGUGUAAGUAACUAUGCACGUCUUGACGGUACCUAAUCAGAAAGCCACGGCUAACUACGUG